AUGGCUGGAUCCCACACACGUGAGAUGGCUGUCGUCAGCUCGUGUCGUGAGAUGUUCGGUUAAGUCCGGCAACGAGCAGCUCCCCACACUCUUAGUUGCCAUCAUUCAGUUGGGCACUCUAGGAGAACUGCCGAUGAUAAGUCGGAGGAAGGUGUGGAUGACGUCAAGUCCUCAUGGCCCUUACGGGUUGCCGCAAACACGUGCUACAAUGGCAGUGACAAU
rnacentral:rRNA from 1 species